GAUGAACGCUGGCGGCGUGCCUAAUACAUGCAAGUCGAGCGAACAGACGAUGAGCUUGCUCCUCUGACGUUAGCGGCGGACGGGUGAGUAACACGUGGAUAACCCACCUAUAAGACUGGGAUAACUUCGGGAAACCGGAGCUAAUACCGGAUAAUAUAUUGAACCGCAUUGUUCAAUAGUGAAAGACGGUUUUGCUGUCACUUAUAGAUGGAUCCGCGCCGCGUUAUCUAGUUGGUAAGGUAACGGCUUACCAAGGCAACGAGGCGUAGCCGACCUGGGAGGGGGAUAGGCCACACGGAAAUGGAGAGAGGGUCAAGACUCAUACGGAAGGAAGAGGUGGGAAGUGUUCAGAAAUGGACGAAGGCAUGACGAGCCAAGCCGGGGUGGGUGAUAAAGGUCUUCGGAUGGUAAAACAUUGUUUUUGGGAAGGAAAAAAGGGGAAAGAAACAAUGCAGGUCUGAAGGGACCCUACUAAGAAGGCCAGGGUUACUUCGGU
rnacentral:rRNA from 1 species